rnacentral:rRNA from 1 species
GACGAACGCUGGCGGCGUGCUUAACACAUGCAAGUCGAACGGCAAGGCACUGCUUUCGUGGGGUGCUCGAGUGGCGAACGGGUGCGUAACACGAGAGUAACCUGCCCUUCACUUUGGGAUGACUUCAGGAAACUGGGGCUACUACCAUACAGCAUCCCCCGCUGCGUGGAGGGGGUUGGAUAGUUUCGGCGGGUGUGGAUGGACUCGCGGCUUAUCAGCUUGUUGGUGGGGGAGUGGCUUACCCAGGCUUUGGCGGGUCGCCGGCCUGGGAGGGGGGACGGCCACAAUGGGACUGAGAGACGGCGCAGUGGCGAACGUGGGGCAACAGGGGGGAAUAUUGCACAAUGGGCGGAAGCCGGAGGCAGCGACGCCGCGGGCGGGAUGACGGCCUGCGGGGUGUAAACCGCUGUCGCCUGUUACGAAGCGGUAGUGACGGUAAUGGGUAAAGAAGCACCGGCUAACUACGUG